CCCUUUGGGUGUGACUGCGUACCUUUUGUAUAAUGGGUCAGCGACUUAUAUUCUGUAGCAAGGUUAACCGAAUAGGGGAGCCGGAGGGAAACCGAGUCUUAACCGGGCGUUAAGUUGCAGGGUAUAGACCCGAAACCCGGUGAUCUAGCCAUGGGCAGGUUGAAGGUUGGGUAACACUAACUGGAGGACCGAACCGACUAAUGUUGAAAAAUUAGCGGAUGACCUGUGGCUGGGGGUGAAAGGCCAAUCAAACCGGGAGAUAGCUGGUUCUCCCCGAAAGCUAUUUAGGUAGCGCCUCGUGAAUUCAUCUCCGGGGGUAGAGCACUGUUUCGGCUAGGGGGCCAUCCCGGCUUACCAACCCGAUGCAAACUGCGAAUACCGGAGAAUGUUAUCACGGGAGACACACGGCGGGUGCUAACGUCCGUCGUGAAGAGGGAAACAACCCAGACCGCCAGCUAAGGUCCCAAAGUCAUGGUUAAGUGGGAAACGAUGUGGGAAGGCCCAGACAGCCAGGAUGUUGGCUUAGAAGCAGCCAUCAUUUAAAGAAAGCGUAAUAGCUCACUGGUCGAGUCGGCCUGCGCGGAAGAUGUAACGGGGCUAAACCAUGCACCGAAGCUGCGGCAGCGACACUGUGUGUUGUUGGGUAGGGGAGCGUUCUGUAAGCCUGUGAAGGUGUGUCGUGAGGCAUGCUGGAGGUAUCAGAAGUGCGAAUGCUGACAUAAGUAACGAUAAAGCGGGUGAAAAGCCCGCUCGCCGGAAGACCAAGGGUUCCUGUCCAACGUUAAUCGGGGCAGGGUGAGUCGACCCCUAAGGCGAGGCCGAAAGGCGUAGUCGAUGGGAAACGGGUUAAUAUUCCCGUACUUGGUGUUACUGCGAAGGGGGGACGGAGAAGGCUAUGUUGGCCGGGCGACGGUUGUCCCGGUUUAAGCGUGUAGGUGUGUGUUCCAGGUAAAUCCGGUUCACUUUAACACUGAGGCGUGACGACGAGGCACUACGGUGCUGAAGCAACAAAUGCCCUGCUUCCAGGAAAAGCCUCUAAGCAUCAGGUAACAUCAAAUCGUACCCCAAACCGACACAGGUGGUCAGGUAGAGAAUACCAAGGCGCUUGAGAGAACUCGGGUGAAGGAACUAGGCAAAAUGGUGCCGUAACUUCGGGAGAAGGCACGCUGACACGUAGGUGAAGUGAUUUACUCAUGGAGCUGAAGUCAGUCGAAGAUACCAGCUGGCUGCAACUGUUUAUUAAAAACACAGCACUGUGCAAACACGAAAGUGGACGUAUACGGUGUGACGCCUGCCCGGUGCCGGAAGGUUAAUUGAUGGGGUCAGCGCAAGCGAAGCUCCUGAUCGAAGCCCCGGUAAACGGCGGCCGUAACUAUAACGGUCCUAAGGUAGCGAAAUUCCUUGUCGGGUAAGUUCCGACCUGCACGAAUGGCGUAAUGAUGGCCAGGCUGUCUCCACCCGAGACUCAGUGAAAUUGAACUC
rnacentral:rRNA from 1 species